CCUGUUGGCACUCACUCUCUCUCCAGUACUCUGUGAAGAGGUGCCUUCUCCAUGAUUCUGCUCUGUGAAGAGGUGCUUUCUCCAUGAUUGCAAGUUUCCUCAUUCUCUCUCCAGCCACUCUGUGAAGAGGUGCUUUCUCCAUGAUUGCAAGUUUCCUCAUUCUCUCUCCAGCCAUUCUGUGAAGAGGUACCUUCUCCAUGAUUCAUUCCACCACAGGAUGACGCAGCAAGAAGGCACCCUCACAAAUGUGGCCCCUCAAUCUUACAUUCAGCCUCCAGACCGUGAGCCA
rnacentral:lncRNA from 13 species